GCACACCGUGCUAUUGAGCCACCUUGGAUCACCGCAGGAGCCCUAAUUACAACGCCAUUAACCAAAGACUAGGAUAAUGUCGAAUGCUGAUUUAAAGGUUAACUCCUGCACACGGCCUAUUAAGUAAAUCAAGAAUAGAUUUUUCUUUGUCUUGAUUUAAACCGCUCGGACAUUUUUGUUUUCCUCCUUCAUGGACUCGAGCCAACAUCACAAGAUUAAAGUCUGACGAGUUGUGUUAGCGUGCGUGGAAAGGGACAUUUGAUUCGUUUUUCUAUCCUCACUUUAUGCUGAUGUAAAGGGUUAAAAAAACGUGUAUAUAAUUCAUUAAAAUGUGUAUCGUCUAAAGCUAAAAACAAAGGUUAUCAAAAAGUUAAAAAUGGAUUACAAGAUUUGAAAACUGUGUUAAAAGUCAUUGGGACAGUCAGAACAAAUGUAUUGAGUUAAAAAUAGACCCCAAUAUACUUUUUUAUGUUUAUGUGUCUAAAAUAGCUAUUCAGAGCCGAAUUCCAGUGCACUGAACUUGUUACUAUGUUAUUGCAAUCCUCAAUCAGGUCACUAGAGGGCGCAUAGCGCUUGUGAGGAGCAUAAUACCCCAAAGAGGCAAGUUCUAAACUGCGUUGCUUCUUUGUAUUUACAUACAGAAACUUCUUCUCUGGCACCACUAGGCCAGGUCGGGGGAGCAACACUGACAGUAGAAGAACUUAAAGUAACACAAUUAACCAGAUAACUGUUUAGUAAAAGUGACAUGAUUACUGAAGUUACCAAAGGUAAUACCUUACAUCACGUUACACACAGAAGGUGGCUGGGUGGAUAAAAAAGUAAACCGGCCAAAAUAAUACAUUUUGUUUUUGUUUUACACACAUUUGUUCCAGUACAUUUAAUUGUGUUAGUAAGG